AUGAGGAAAAAAAUCAGGGGCACCAAAAAAUUAAUUUCCCAUCUUCCACUCCCUUAUGUCCGAUUUUUCAAUUUGUAUAUCACAUCCUAAAAUCCGGCCUCCAUCUCCGGUAGUGGUGCAGCUCCGGCAACCGUGUAGCUCCGACAGUAAAGUCCAAUCUCCAUCCCGUCGCCUUCAAUCUUCCUUGUUGAUUUUGUAUUUGAAUAUUUGAUCUCAAUGGCUUCUUGGGGAUUUCUUAGUCUGUUCAUACAGUUCAUUGAAGGUUAAGAUUUGUUUUUUGUAGUUGGUUUAUUCUUCAAGCAUGAUUUUGGUUUAUGUUGAUAUUUAUAUUGGAUAUUUCUUAGUCCGAAAAGUACAAAAAAUGCACAACAAUAUUGAAAUGGCGUUUUCUUCAAUUUAAUGAAUUAUGGGUUUGAAUUUUCUUUUUCUCCUAGCAUCUUUAUUUUUAUUUUUUCCUUUUCAUCUUGCUGUUAUGAAUUUUUGUUUUUAGAAAAGCUAUUCUCAUUUGCAUAGACAGCAUAGUAGGAGUUUGAAUGUUUGAUGUUGUGAUCUUCGCUCUUGAAACAUUGAAAUGAGCUGGCAAGAUCUAGAAAUGUAUACUUGUGGAGUGAUUGACUAAGUCAGCUUUUGAUUCUUUUGGUUGAAGAUGUUAGUUUGAAAUUCUAUUUUGUUAAUUUCAGUUAAAACGGAUGGGUAUAUAUCUCAAUACUCCUAAAACAGAGAAAUUUUCCGAAGAGGGUGCGCCCGAGGUUCUUUUAGCUCCACAACGACAACAUUUAGACAUCAUAUUGGCCCCAUUUCAAUUGAAGCGAGUUUUAUGUCGCCAGUUCCAUAGGGCUAUUUUGCCACUGCCUUGUAGAAACUAAUUAUUAUUCCAUCAAGGACUCAAGAAUUUGUUUGAUGUAAUAGAUUUAUGUUUAAUAGUAG
rnacentral:lncRNA from 1 species